rnacentral:snRNA from 1 species
GCAGCACAUAUACUAAAAUCGGAACAAUACAGAGAAGAUUAGCAUAGCCCCUGCACAAGGAUGACAUGGAAAUCUGUGACGUGUUCCCUAGAUUU